UCUCUUUGGAGAUGUGAAGAGAGGGAAUCACAACUUUUUCCUGCGGGAAAAAAGUUGGCUUAUGUAGACAAGCAUUUACUUUUAUUUUGAGCUGUUGUUCUCCGCUCUGUAAAAUGAGGGUUGUAAGUUCCUAGGUGGCUGGUAGCCAACUUAGUACAUAGUGGGAUUGAAUGGAGAACAUGAUGUAAUACAUAUAUAUCUAUUUCUGUUUAAAACCGUGCCUUAUUUCAUAGUCCCCUUGGGAGAAGUUUCUCUUUGUGUCUGGAUCCAGUUAGGUUGUGUCACGUCUCUGGUGAGACGUGAAGAGAGGGUUUUGUAGAGAAAUGCUAAUUCUUAUGUAGGUGACCAAACUAUUGUUGAUAAAGGGCUACCACUCAGAGUUGAGCCUGUGGGGUCCCCUACAGGAUAGCUCCCGCAUUACACUAAUGGCCAAAACCAGCGCACACACACAUGAUCUCAGUUGUCUGUCCGUCAUCGUAGAAUCCUCUUCGGGCAUUCAACGUUCAGCUACAACGGAGAUCAUGUGUGUGUGCGCUGGUUUUGGCCAUUAGUGUAAUGCGGGAGCUAUCCUGUAGGGGACCCCACAGGCUCAACUCUGAGUUGUAGCCCCCCCUUAACAAUAGUUUGGUCACCUACAUAAGAAAUAGCAUUUCUCUACAAAACCCUCUCUUCACGUCUCACAAGAGACGUGACACAACCUAACUGGAUCCAGACACAAAGAGAAACUUCUCCCAAGGGGACUAUGAAAUAAGGCACGGUUUUAAACAGAAAUAGAUAUAUAUGUAUUACAUCAUGUUCUCCAUUCAAUCCCACUAUGUACUAAGUUGGCUACCAGCCACCUAGGAACUUACAACCCUCAUUUUACAGAGCGGAGAACAACAGCUCAAAAUAAAAGUAAAUGCUUGUCUACAUAAGCCAACUUUUUUCCCGCAGGAAAAAGUUGUGAUUCCCUCUCUUCACAUCUCCAAAGAGAUGUGACUUAAACUAGGCAAGUCAGGCGGAAUGAUCCACUUGCAUAACACAUACAUACAUCCCCAUAAGGCAACAGCAGAUAUAAUGUAAACCUAAAUAGGCACUCUCCUCCUCAUCCUUGAAUUCAAGUAGGUCUUUAUCCAGCAGAGGAAACAUCUGGGAGGGGGAGGAAGGGUCAAUGGCUCUAGAGAUAACCCU
rnacentral:lncRNA from 1 species